UAGGUUCGAGCCUUGGAUCUCUUCGAGAUCGAGAUGGAUGCCAACCAGUUGAGCUAAGAAUUGUGAUGGAUUCUAAUAAUGAGAUAGAUUCGAUAGCAUGGAAUAUAAAGCAAAUAUAAAUGAUGUUAUAGCGAUCUUUAAGAAAGAAAGGAAAAAAAAAAGCAUUCAACUUACCCUAGCUAAAUGCUUAUUUUUUAUACAUAUGGCCCAUGUCUUGGUAGAGUAGGGAGGUCAGGCAUAAAAGAGCAAAAAAGAACAUGAUAGAUUAAAUUUACUUCUUGGGAUGAAAUAUAAAUCAGGCUCACUUGGUUUAACAAGCUCCCUAGCAGUUGUCCCGUUUGGAAUGAAUGAAGUGGAAAGGAGAAGCAGAAAGAGUAGGAGGAAUGUCUUUGGAAGCAUUUUCCUUUUAUCCGCUCCACCUCGUUCUCCUGAAAUAUGAUGAUCCUUCUACCAAGCUCUGGCUUUUAUAGCGAACGAGAGUUGGGGCAGAACUGGAACCUCACAUUCUCCAAUGCCCAUGGUUUCUUUCUUAUCCGGUCCACUCACACUUUUGUCCAUUGUUCCUUGAAUUUUCU
rnacentral:lncRNA from 1 species